rnacentral:rRNA from 1 species
GUAAGGAACCCUUCCCCUGGGGCUGAUCCCUGGCCGACAGUCGACCGUGGGGUGCCAGAGGGGGGCAGGAUCUCGGUGAGUCAUUUUCCCGGUUCUUUGUCAACCUUUGGCUUACUCCUGCGUGUUGGCAGUGGCCCACGCCCACAAUGGGGGGGCGCAAGCCCGGGACUUGCCACCAGUGCACCUCUCGGCGUCCGCGACUGGCCUCUCGGGGCCUUUCCGCGUGGGCUGAGUUGGUAGCCGGCAAGUACCUUGAGCAGACAUGUUGGGACCCGAAAGAUGGUGAACUAUGCUUGGCCAGGACGAAGCCAGAGGAAACUCUGGUGGAGGUCCGCCGCGAUUCUGACGUGCAAAUCGAUCGUCGGAGCUGAGUAUAGGGGCGAAAGACUAAUCGAACCAUCUAGUAGCUGGUUCCCUCCGAAGUUUCCCUCAGGAUAGCUGGUACUCGAGGGUAAUUUCAUCCGGUAAAGCGAAUGAUUAGAGGUCUUGGGGACGAAACGUCCUCAACCUAUU